rnacentral:lncRNA from 1 species
UGUUCCUACUAAGGUGGCCUCACGAAGCCUGGGUCUUUUUCCUAAGAGCACAAAACCUCUUGUCUUUUACAAGGUCGGUAAGAGCUGACAGGCCUGACCCAGAUCCUCCCCAAGACUUAAGCAGUGCACAGUGGGGAGCAUUGAAGAAAUAAGGGAGUUAAGGACGCCCUUCCCUUCCCGGGUGCACUAGGCCCAGUUAACAGCAGACUGCAGUCCCCUCUGCUGUCUCUGGGCUCCUCAAGCUCUGUUCUUCCUCUGCCACCACAGACAUGACAUCCUCUGUAGCUUCUGAGGCAAAAGGAAGGUUGUGUUCACUAGUGCAGAUUCUUCUCCUCUCCAGUGGGCAGAGGUUCCAGUCCUUCUCUCACCCUGCAGCUAGAUGCCAGGUUUAUGAGGUCAGUCUUAGGGCCAGGCUUAGCAUUGAGAAAGGUGAUACCUCAAUGGACUCUUUGUCUCCACCUCCUUCACCACUUCCUACCUUCUUUCUGUAACAGGUGGGACACUGUUCUUGGAAUGUCUUGUGCUACUCACUUCUCUUUGCUUGUACUCUUAUCUUGUGUAUGAGGUUUGCCUCCCAUCAUUACACAGAACACAUCUCCUUUCAGUAUUUUACAGGCUAUAUAAAAUCUGAUUCAUACUAGGUUCUCAAGUUAGAGAUUUUACUUUAAAAUCAUUUCAUUUUCCUUCUGGGCUCACUGUGCUUUAAGUUCCUGUAGACUCACAGAUGAGCAAGGAUUACCAGGAAAGUAGAAUGAAUACACAGACCAGAGGAGCUCUGCAGCUAGCUGAGCUUCUUGUGAGCUUUGUUGCUGUCUCAGAGAAAUUUCUCUGCUCAUUUGUGAGAACCCCUCUUCUUUUCACCACUGAAGAUCUGAAAAACUUAUACCAUUCUAGUUGCAAUUUGAGGGUGUACAUGAGUGGUUUGAAAUGGAAAAAUAGAUGGCAGUUAAUUGCUAUGUUGAAAGGGAGGGAAGGGGUGGAGUUUUGUUUUGAUAUUCAGGUUCUUUGAAGAGCCUCCUUUGUUCAUUCAAUAACAAAUAUUUCUUGGGUUCCUUCCUCUUGCGUGCCAGUCACUGACAGUUGGCAGUACGAUACUUCGUAGACACAAGGCUCCCCUUCUGAGCCUUUACACCUUCUAGCUGGGGAGACAGUUCUUCAACAUAGAAAUAAUAAUCCAAUGUCAGGUAGUGAUAAGAUAAAGAUUACCUGGGUAGAGCAGAUGGACAUGGCACUUCGGUUGGGGUGGUCACAGGGCAUCUUGGGAGACGAACAAUUUGAAGAUAAAUGUGAGUGUUCAGGAUGGAAGCAUUCCAUGUGGAGAUUAGAGGCCCUGGUUUGUUGCUGGAUGGAGAAUGGUAGAGACCUGCAGGGACAUGUUUUCCACCUGAGGACAGGAUCAUCCUGGUUGCCACUUGAGUGGCCCCUAGAGGUGUGGUGUGCAAGAGGAUUCUUCCCUGGCUGUCCAGGAGGACGUUUUCAGAACUGAGGCACAGCAUGGGCGUCAUGAACCCAGGCCCCUUCUCAACCUCCUUUAUGCCAUCCUUCCAGAGGCUGGACAGCCACCAAGGGUUAACCUUUCUGUGUCCCUUUCCUCUUCUGUAAAAAUACCCAGUUCAAUGCAGAAAGGGUUCAACAUAGCUAGUACCAGGCACCAAGAACAUUGUUGGACACACAAUGUCUAGAAUAAGGAAGUGGUAGGAGGUGUCCGACAGUGGCCUUGGUUGCUUUUGGUUAUCUUUUGGGGCAUGGGGACUAACAAAGCAAAGGGAGGCUCCCUCAAGCUUUAUUCUUCGUAACAGUGGUGAUGCCUGAGCCGUGGCUUCUUAACCCCCAUUGGGUUCAUGGGAACCAGCCUCUGGAAGGAUAUUUAUCACCAAAACAAAUGUCAUGCAGGGAUGUGCAGGUCAGCGGUACAUGCAGGUCAGGUAAUUUCCCUCACUGCAUAUGGCAUGCACUGAUAGUUUUAAAACUUUGUUUUAUUAAAUGUGGGUUGACUAUUAAAUUGAUUGUAUGGUUCACAAAUGGAAGGCAGUCGUGGUUUCAGAAAUUUAUUUAGAUGAUCUCUGAGACCCCUUAAACUAGCUGAGAGAGUUCUGAGUCAAAGCCUACAUUCUAGCUGUCAAGAAUUAGUUUUAUCAUUUGUACAAAGUUGCAGUAUUUCUAAGCCUUGGAGACUUGGUCAGACCUCAUUUUAAAGAUGAAGAAGCCAUUAAUCCAAAGAAAAGAGACUGGCCCCGACGCUCCCAGUUAAAAUUUCUGUGCCUUUAAAUGUUUUCUCCACCAAACUGCUUGUCACUACCAGCCCCUUCAUCUGCAGUCCAACUCCCAGCUUACAUCCUGGAUCUGGAAGACCUUUCCAAAGCCACUUGGCUCUUCAUUCUGUCCUUGUUCUCCACCUGGAUCUUGGUGACUGCAUUGAAACAUGUUGGUGACCAUAGGACUGGAUCACAGGCCUCAUCUCUGCAGAAACUGGAUGACCAGCUCAGCACCCCACGGACACUGUUCUCUGCAUGGGGGACCCUUACCAUUGGUAGACAGGCCUUGCCUCUUGCCUGGCCACUGUCAACCUUGGACACACUUGGGACGGGAUCUCUUGGCUUUCCCUGAAAUGUAACUGAAUUAUUCCCAGACUCCUCUUUUUAAGACUUCUUUUAUCUUAAAGAAGGUCAUCACCAAGAGAUGACGAAGGGAUUAGAUGCUUUGCCUGUAAGUCACUGUGACUGGGGCAGCGAUACGUGCAGGUCAGGUGCAUAAAGGUCAGCGGUACACGCAGGUCAGGCAGCGAGCAAUACAUGCAGGCCACUCCUGUGAUGGCACUGCUGGAGUUGUUUUGGUAAGCUUCCCAGUAAAACAUAUAUACUCUUUCCCAAUUUACUUGCAUUCCUGGAAAAUAAAUUUUUUUUUAAAGUGAGCAAAUAGUUUGUGCAAAAUAGAGUUAGCUCGCAGGCUCAAAUGACUUAAGAUUUUUUUCAUCUUUACAUGAAUGUUGGGAAAGACUAGAAGGUGUAAUAGAUGACAUAUCUUGGCAUUGCCAGAGUUUACUGUCUAGGAGCAGGCCACUAAUCACCAUGAGCAGGAAUGCCUCAAAUUUCCAGUGUGUCCCCUGGGGGUGGCAUCACUUAGAAUCAAGACUUCAGAAUUCUGCUGAAGAUGAAAAGGUUCCCUGUGGCCUCAGCUUUUAAUUUUAAAACUGCUGUCACUCCCUGGCCCUCAUGGGCCACCUGCCUGUGGUCGGUAGUUGUUCCUCCUUGGUUAGCCUGACUUCAGCCUGGACCUCAAGACAGUGCUGGGGUUUAAGGAGGUCCUGCACUGACCCUGCUGCAGGAGGAAGCCCUGCCCAGGUCUGUCUGGCAUUCAGGUAGGUCAGCUUCCACCCAGGUAGGCACUGAAGCUGGGAGACAGUGCUGUUAUUCCUCUUUUUUUAAAAAAAAGAUAUUUUUUAUUUGUUCUAAUUACUUAUACAUGAUAGUAUAAUGCAUUUUGCUACAUCAUACAUACUUGGAUAUAACUUCUAAUUGCCUGAUAGUCCAUGAUGUAUAGUCACACAGGUCAUGUAAUCAUAUGUACACAUAGGGUAAUGAUGUCCUAUUCAUUCUACUGUCAUUCCUACCCCCUGACCCCUUCCACUUCCUUCACUCUCCUCUGUCUUGUUCAAACUACCUCUGUUCUCCCACCCAUUGUAAAUUAGCAGCUGCAUAUCAGAAAACAAUUGGCCUUUGGUUCUUUGGGAUUGGCUUAUUUUGCUUAGCAGAAUAUUCUCCAGUUCCAUCCAUUUACUGGCAACUGCCAUAAUUUCAUUCUUCUUUAAGUCUAAGUAAUAUUCCAUUGUGUAUAUAUUACCAUAGUUUCUUUAUCCAUUAAACUGUUGAAGGGCAUCUAGGUUUGUUCCAUAAUUUAGCUAUUAUGAAUUAAGCUGCUAUAACAUUGAUGUGGCUGUGUCACUGUAGUAGACUGGUUUUAAGUCCUUUGGGUAUAAAUCUUGGAGUGGGAUAACUGGGUCAAGUGGUGGUUUCAUUCCAAAUUUUCUAAAGACUGAGGAAGACCUGGUGGUAGGAGAAAGUUCAGUGGGUGGUGGGUCCCCAUGGUCUUCACUUUCUCUCUCCAGCAUUCUGCAGUUUUCAUUGUACAGGUUUCUCACUUCUUGGUUGAUUUAUUUCCAUUUUUUUAAAUGUUAUUGUGAAUGGAAUUGUUUCUCUGAUUUCUUUCUCAGCAGAUUCAUCAUUAAAGGGUAAAAGAGCUGAUGCAGGAGUGC